ACCAAGAUAGUUCAAUUGGUUAGAACAUUAAUUUCAUGCAUUAAUAAUGAGAAUUCAAAUUUCUCUCUUGGUU
rnacentral:tRNA from 1 species